CGGGAAGGCGACCAUUCGGCUAAUCCUAAUCCCAAUAUUUCUAUGCCUGCUACUUAGUGUACUUCAACGUGUCAUCAACAAUUUGCUAGAUCAGCCAAGGUUCAGGUGUGGUUGUAAGUGUGUUGAUGCCAACGGCACUGGUGCUUGCCAAAAUGUAUGCGGAAUCCAGUACUCCACAGUGGAUCAGGCUAGAAGUUGCCCCAUACAAAAUCCUACUGAAUGGCCUGCUCUAUUGCAAUUACCGCGCCCCGAGUAUCGUGCUGUUCACGAUCCCUCCAGUGUGUUCACAGGCUUACCAGAUGCAUCAUGCAGAAAAUCAGAGUCCUGCCCAGCUAUUGUACCCUUCACGGGAGCAAACGAAACCGUAUCUAAUGCUAUCAUGAAGAACUUGUUCACAAGCUCAACACUUUCAAAUCUUUCUCAUCUUGCGAGCCUAUCUAAUCUUCUCCUUGGAACAGAUGUGCGGGGUGCUUCUACUGGCUUUAUUGAACCUGCUUUUGUCUCUGAUCAACCCCUAUAUGUUAUUAAACCUCAGUGUAAAUCCAGUGAUUCAGAUAUCCUCAUUACUGUUGAUGCUACCGAUGAUCAGAAAGAGAUAAAAUGUGUUCAAGGUUUGCCAUUGUGGCGGAAUAGUUCAACAACAAUAAAUUAAGAAACCUUUCAGGGUUACCGAAAUGGAAAAAAAGGAGAAGGGAUAUAUGAAAUUACAAUGGGCUAUGAUUUUCAGGAAUCAAACGAGAAGUUUCUGAAUGUGCUAGCUCUAUAUAAUUCUUCCUACCAGAAUAACUCCUUCAUUCCAACAUUGCCGUUUGGACUUCGGCGAGUUUCACGCUCAUUGAACGUGGUCUCCAAUGCCUAUCUGCAAUUUCUACUAGGCCCAGGUGCAGAAAUGUUGCUCAAGUUCAUAAAAGAAAUGCCUAAGCAUUCGACUCGCCAAGCUUUUGAAUUUUCUACUGCUGUUGGCCCUCUCUUUUUUGAAUGGGUUGUUGCAUUGUUGUU